AGCAGUAGCCGCGGUAAUACGAAGGGUGCAAGCGUUACUCGGAAUUACUGGGCGUAAAGCGUGCGUAGGUGGUGGUUUAAGUCCGUUGUGAAAGCCCUGGGCUCAACCUGGGAAUGGCAGUGGAUACUGGCAAGCUAGAGUGUGUCAGAGGAUGGUGGAAUUCCCGGUGUAGCGGUGAAAUGCGUAGAGAUCGGGAGGAACAUCAGUGGCGAAGGCGGCCAUCUGGGACAACACUGACGCUGAGGCACGAAAGCGUGGGGAGCAAACAGGAUUAGAUACCCGCGUAGUCCCUGUCUCUUAUAC
rnacentral:rRNA from 1 species